AUGGCAGCGGCCGUGGCAGGGAGAGCAGCCCCCACUCCCAGCGGCCACGCAGGCAUUUUGCGCAAGGGGCCUGCGGCUGGGGGCCGAGCUGCCGCUUUGCUCAGGCUGGGAAGGCACCCCAGGUCUGCAGAUACUUCCAGCGAGGCUUCUGCUUCCACGGAGAUGGAUGCAGGUGAGCACCUCUUCUCCUCGAACAGGGAGUGGGGUGGGGGACGCAGGAGGAAUCAGCCCCUCAGGGACCACGCCUCUUCCCAGAGCCUCAACUCCCCUCACAGCUCCAAGUUCUAGGCUGAGCUAGCUCUGAGCCCUGGAGGGGCUAUCCCUGUCUCCUCACCCUUCUCCUCCCCACUACAGCUAUCAGCAUCCACAGCAGCCCCCCGGCCAUCUGGAGUGGGGCCGCCGCCAUUCAGAGCCACACGUCACCCUGCCAGGACCCUGGCUGGGGCUGACCCGCAGGGGCUCCGAGCCCACCUACCUGCCCUCUGUGGCAGUGGGUUGGGGCUGGGCCGGCGCCUGAGGGGACACGGAGCCUGGCCUGGAGGGGAUGGCCAGCAAGGCCAUGGAGUUUGGUGCCAGUUCCUGGAAGUCCCUGUCACCAUCAUGUGAGUCGUCUGGGGCACUGCAGGUGGGCACAAGUGGGACCUGGCAUCAGGGUUCCUGCUCUGGCUCAGAGCAAGUUUGAUGUUCCCUCCUCCCCUCUCCCUCCUCAAGAUUGCCAGCUAGAGGGAAGUUUCCUCCUGGCUGCAUUGCUCUCUCUAUCUAGAAGCAGAAUGCCAGGGUGCCUGUGGAACCAAACCACCUAGUUUCAAAUGCCAGCUCCACUAGUUAGUAGCUGUGUGAUUUUGGACAAGUCGCUUAACCUCUCUGGGCCUCAGUGUCCUCAUCUGAAAAGGACACUGAUAAUAGUACCUGCUGCACAGGGUCGUGUGAGGGUGGGAUGAGUUCAUACGUGUGAUGUGCUUAGCACAGUACCUGGUGCAGAGUAAAUACUAAGUGUCAGUGGUUAUUUUUUAAAUUAUUGCUCUAAUGCAGUGCUGUCCGAUAAAACUUUGCCACAUAUGUAGUUUUUGUAACAGUUUUCUUGAUAUAUACUUCACAAACCAAACAAUUCACCAAUUUACGAUGUACAAUUCAAUGUGACACAGUAUAUUAUAUUCAGAGUUGUGCAAACAUUACCACUAUCUAAUUUUAGAAGAUUUUCAUAAGCUCAAAAAGAAACCCAUUGGCAGUCAGCCUCCAUCCACUGCCCUUCCCAGCCACUGGCA
rnacentral:lncRNA from 1 species